rnacentral:rRNA from 1 species
CGAUGCAUAGCCGACCUGAGAGGGUGAUCGGCCACACUGGAACUGAGUCACGGUCCAGACUCCUACGGGAGGCAGCAGUAGGGAAUCGUCCGCAAUGGGCGAAAGCCUGACGGAGCAACGCCGCGUGAGUGAUGAAGGUCUUCGGAUCGUAAAACUCUGUGAUUAGGGAAGAACAUAUGUGUAAGUAACUGUGCACAUCUUGACGGUACCUAAUCAGAAAGCCACGGCUAAC